CCCGCAGAUUGUACUGUUACAUGAGAAUAGCUGUUUGCAUGUGAUCUCAGAUGCUUUUUAAGGUAGAAUUAAGCAGAAGCAUAACUAGGGUGUAAAAGGAGGCGUUUCCAUCCAGCGAUGGUGUUAAACCUGGGGGGAUUUUUGUGUGUUCUUUCCCUUUCUCUUUCAGAGCUGUUGCGCAGCCAUUGGUACCUGUAUUGGGGAAACAUAGCAUACAAGCAAGAAGCUUACAGCCUCAGUGGCGAAAAUUUUUUCAUGUCAGAGACCGAGAACUCUUGCAGUCGUUUAUGUCAUCCCUUCUUCUCCAGACAGAAGAUACCAAAAAGUUGCAAUCAAAGAUCUCUUCAUCUUAUUGAUAAAGCCACUAAUAAGCCAAAAUGUCUGUCAAUGUCAACCGCAGCGUGUCAGACCAGUUCUAUCGCUACAAGAUGCCCCGUCUGAUUGCCAAGGUUGAGGGCAAAGGAAAUGGAAUCAAGACAGUCAUAGUCAACAUGGUUGACGUUGCAAAGGCGCUUAAUCGGCCUCCAACGUAUCCCACCAAAUAUUUUGGUUGUGAGCUGGGAGCACAGACCCAGUUUGAUGUUAAGAAUGACCGUUACAUUGUCAAUGGAUCUCAUGAGGCGAAUAAGCUGCAAGACAUGUUGGAUGGAUUCAUUAAAAAAUUUGUUCUCUGUCCUGAAUGUGAGAAUCCUGAAACAGAUUUGGUAAGUGCUUUUGUGGUUGUCAAAAGAAAAAGCCGUA
rnacentral:sRNA from 1 species